rnacentral:rRNA from 1 species
CCUACGGGGGGCAGCAGUAGGGAAUCUUUCACAAUGGGCGAAAGCCUGAUGGAGCAACGCCGCGUGCAGGAUGAAGGCCUUCGGGUUGUAAACUGCUUUUAUAAGCGAGAAAUAUGAUGGUAACUUAUGAAUAAGGAUCGGCUAACUACGUGCCAGCAGCCGCGGUCAUACGUAGGAUCCGAGCAUUAUCCGGAGUGACUGGGUGUAAAGAGUUGCGUAGGUGGCAUAAUAAGUAGCUAGUGAAAUCUGGUGGCUCAACCAUUCAGACUAUUAGCUAAACUGUUAAGCUCGAGACCGUUAGGGGUAACUGGAAUUUCUAGUGUAGGAGUGAAAUCCGUAGAUAUUAGAAGGAACACCAAUAGCGUAGGCAGGUUGCUGGGACGGUUCUGACACUAAGGCACGAAAGCGUAGGGAGCAAACGGGAUUGGAUACCCCUGUAGUC